rnacentral:lncRNA from 1 species
CACAUGCAGAAGGGCCAAACCAACCUAAGGCGGCUCAACCCAAAUCAAAUACAAAAAAUUCACGUCAACUCGAUAUGAAUCCAACUCAAAACCCAAAGUCUACGAAUAAAACCCAAAACCCAAAGUUCACAAAUAAAACCCAAAACCAAAAGCCCACAAAUAAAACCCAAAAUCCAAAGUCCACAAAUAACCCAAAACCCAAAGUCCACAAAUAAAAUCCACAUCCCAAAAUCCACAAAUAAAACCAACGACCGCAAAGUCGUUAAACUAAACAACCAAAACCCAACGACCGAAACGUCGGUAAACUAAACACAACGACCGAAACGUCGCUAAACUAAACCCAACGACCGAAACGUCGUUAAACUAAACCCAACGACCGAAACGUCGUUAAACUAAACCCAACGACCGAAACGUCGCUAAACUAAACCCAAAUCCAAACGACCGAAACGUCGCUAAACUAAACCUAUAUUCAGACGAUCGAAACGUCGCUAAACUAAACCCAAAUUCGAACGACCGAAACGUCAUUAAACUAAACCCAAAUUCAAAUGACUGAAAAGUCGUUAAACUAAACCUAAAACUUCAAUCGACCACCAAGUUGCUAAAUU